AGUUAAAACCUUUCGCGACACUUUGCCGCUCCAAAUGGUAAGCGUGUAUCUGCGGUUUCAAGAUUGACAUAGAUGUUUGAAGAAAAAACGUUUUUGAUUUGCUCAAAUUGUAAAGAAUUGACUUUCUUAUGAGUUACGGAAGAGGACCUCCUAAGACAGAAGGGAUGACAUCCCUAAAAGUGGAUAAUUUAACCUACAGAACCAGACCAGAAGAUCUAAGAAGAUCAUUUGACAAAUAUGGCGACGUUGGAGAUGUUUAUAUCCCACGCGAUCGCUUCACUAAAGAAAGUAGAGGAUUCGCCUUUGUCAGAUUUUAUGACAAAAGAGACGCCGAAGAUGCAAUGGAUGCUAUGGAUGGUGCUAUGAUGGAUGGAAGAGAGCUCCGGGUUCAGAUGGCUAGAUAUGGAAGACCAUCAAAUUCACGAGGUUACAACGAUCGCCGAAGAAAUAACUACGGCGGGCAUGGUGGUGGUGGUGGAGGCGGGCGUUCAAGGAAUAGAUCUAGAUCUAGGUCAAGAUCCAGAGACAGAUAUUCAAGGAGACGAAGGUCUCAUAGCAGAUCAAAAUCACGAAGCCGAUCACGGAGCAAGUCAAGAUCAAGAAGUGUCAGUCGUUCUAAGAGUCGAACACCAAAGAGUGAACCAAGGCAGUCGAGAAGUCGGUCACCAUCAAAAUCCCCAGAUAGAUCUCCAAAGGAUAAUGCCGAAUUUGAUUAAAGUGUUCUGUUAGUGCUUCCUGUGUAAACCACUGGUAUGAAAAUGUGGACAAGAAUAACGCUCUCUAUUAUAGAGAUAAAAACAGUUGAAACAGUCAGGAGCUGAGUAACGGGUAAUUGUGCUGUUUGCUGUAUAGUAAGCGGAGGUGACCACUGCUUGCAGUUUAUUCCCUGUUGUGGCCUGUUUGUUGGCAGUUGCUGAACAGAAGCAGUUUUCCUGUUAGCAGUGUCUUUCCUGAUUUUGCUGAAUUCCUGUAAAUUUUCAUUUGGGAAUCUAUUUCAUUUGAGAUCAACUUUUCCCAUAAAGCGGUCAAGAUGGUUUUACAUGAAUUUCAAUUUUUUAUAAAAUCAUAAAAAGAUACGCUUUGUCAGCAGAUCUAUCGCCUGUUAAGUCGAGUUUAGUUGAGUUUAGUUUGUGUCAUGCUUGCCUUGAUUUGGGUGCUGUCAGUAAAAAAUAUAAAGAGUACCCUGCAACAUUCGACAUGUUGUUCAGUAAUCAAAUUUUAAAAUUUAAUUAGGUGUGACAAGAGACUAAUUAAUUGGGUGUCAAAGAGAAUCAAAAGAACGUAGUAGCACAAUCAACUAAAAAAAAUUUCAUUGAAAUUUGAUCAUAUAUAUUGUCAUCCCACUUUGAUUUCGAAUAGAAUGUGAUUCAUGAGCUCUAGUGACUAAAGUUAGCACCUGAUUGAUCCACAGUAGGGGCCUACGAUGGCUCAGUGACCAAGACGUUGGCUCACUAACCUGGAGGUCUUGUGUUUGAUCCCUGUGUCGGCCUAGAAUGUUCAUCAGGAUUUCGAUCCUAGUUCUCUCUUAUUAGUUCAGGGGGAUGGUUAGCGCAAGAGCGUUGUAACUUAAAGUCUGUCAUUGAGUCAGCUGGCGUGGUUUCGAUUCUCAGGUUGUAUAUGACAAGGAGUAGGGUCGAAUGUCCAACCUCGUGGGUUUUCUCCUGGUCCUCCUGUUCCUUCCACUGCUAAAGACCCCUUUGCACAAGUGAAUUAUUGAAAUAAAAUUGAUCCAUGUUUUUGUCCUGAAAUGACCUAGUUUGUGUUGAGUGGACCUUAAACACCAUUUCUCUCUGCUCUGGCUGGAUUAAUGAAAACGGGCAUACACCAUACAUUGUGCUAUGAGGGAAAUAUUGCUUGGACAGUGGCGCUAUGACCUACUCUUAAAUCGAAAUGAUCUAGUUUGUCCAGAUUUCUCGCACAAUCCGAUUGACAUUAAAUUUAUACACAGUGUUUAAGAUCAUGAGACGAAGAAGCCUAUAGAUUUUCACUGAUUUCCAAUAACUACUGCCAGAGUUAUGGCCCUUGAUCACUUUGAAAAAUCUUGUGGACGCUCUAUAGGCUAAAGUUAAUAUCGGAUUGACUUUAUAUUUAUACACAGUGUUUAAGGUCAUGAGACAGAGAAUCCUAUUGAUUUUCACCGAUUUCCGAUAAUUACUGGCAGAGUUAUGGUCCUUGAUCACUUUAAAAAAUCUUGUGGCUAAAUUUAUACAGUGUUUAAGGUCAUGAGAUGCAGAUCCUAUUGACUUUCAGCGAUUUUCCUCUAAUUGCUGCCAGAGUUAUGGCCCUUGAUCACUUUGACAAAUCUUAUGGACACUCUAGAGGCUAAAGUUAAUAUCCGAUUUACUUUAAAUUCAUACACAGUGUUUAAGGUCAUCAGACAAAGAAGUGUAUUUAUUUUCAACGAUUUCUGAUAAUUACUGCCAGAGUUAUGGCCCUUGAUCACUUGUGGAUGCCCUAGAGGCUUAAGUUAAUAUCCGAUUGAAAUGUGGUCGUAUAUUGUUGUUGCCCCCGUCCGUCCUUAAUUGCUUGUGGACACUCUAGAGGCUAAAGUUAAUAUCCUAUUGACUUUAUAAAUUUAUACAGUGUUUGAGGUCAUCAGAUGAAGAAACCGAUUGAUUUUCAACAAUUUCUGAUAAUUACUGUCAACAGUUAUGGCCCUUGAUUACUUUGAAAAAUCUUGUGGAUGCUUUGGAGACAAUAGUUAUCAUCUGAUUGAUUUUAUAUUUAUACACCGUGUUUACGCCUAUAUAUAAUCAUUUCGAUUGUCUUUAGAUUGAUACGGGGGGUCACAGUGGGUAAGACGCUGGCUUGCUAGCCUGGAGGUCUGGUGUUCGAUCCCUGCAUUGGCCGAGAAAGUUCACCCAGAUUUUCCGGCGUGGUUCCCCCUUAUCAGUGAUGCAGGAUUGAGGGCCUGACAAGGACAGCUGUCUAGUCAUUCGGAUGAGACAAAAAAACGUGUACACAUUGGCGUGCGCGUAAAAGAUCCCUUGACAGUUGGAAUUCGAUAUAAGAGUAGGCUGUAGUGCUGCUGUUCGGGCAAAAUUUCCCUCAUAGCACACUGUAUGGCGUAUACCCGUCUUCAUUAGCCCAGUUCGGAGCAAAACAGUAGGACAUUAAACCCCAUUUCAUUUCAUCGUUCCACAAUGACGUUGAGCAGGAGUGAUUGAAUAAUUUGGCAUUAAAUGUGACUUUAGGAAGUGGACAUUUUUGGUUAUUACUUGAUUCUUUUAUUGCAGCACUGAGUGGUUUUAAAUUAUACUGUUCUAUUUAAGUAAUCUUCAUUGUGUAUUAAAGAUACACUAUGGGAGAUUAGAUAAAGAGCUUGCAGUUCUCACUAUGAUAGUUAAAAACUAGAUAAUAUAAAGGGCAUAUGCUUCGGUCAAAUUGCUUCAUUCUGAAUCGAGAUAGCGAUUCAAUUUUAAAAUCACUAUGGUUAGCACAUGCGCGCUGUAUCAUAAGGUCUGUCGUUGAGUCAACUGGCGAGGUCUUGAUUCCCCAGUUGUACGUGACGAGGAGUAGGGUUUUCUGCAAGUCGUCCGGUUGCCUUCCACUGCUAAAGACCUACGCGCAAGCGAAUUAUAGAAAUAAAAUUGAACCAUAUGUUAGUCCCGAAAUGACCUAGUUUGUGUUGAAUGGACGUUAAACCCCAUCUCUCUCUCUCCUCCAGUGCUUCACACUAAAUUGAAAUAAAUCGGUUAAAACUUG